UGCAUUCACACAUCCGAUCAUCGUU
rnacentral:misc_RNA from 1 species